rnacentral:ncRNA from 2 species
GCGGGAGACCGGGGUUCGAUUCCCCGCCGGA